rnacentral:siRNA from 1 species
AAAGAGAAUAUCAACCGUUGAA